rnacentral:rRNA from 1 species
ACGGGGCCCGCACAAGCGGCGGAGCAUGUGGAUUAAUUCGAUGCAACGCGAAGAACCUUACUGGGUUUGACAUAUACCGGAAAGCUGCAGAGAUGUGGCCCCCCUUGUGGUCGGUAUACAGGUGGUGCAUGGCUGUCGUCAGCUCGUGUCGUGAGAUGUUGGGUUAAGUCCCGCAACGAGCGCAACCCUAUCUUAUGUUGCCAGCACGUUAUGGUGGGGACUCGUAAGAGACUGCCGGGGUCAACUCGGAGGAAGGUGGGGACGACGUCAAGUCAUCAUGCCCCUUAUGUCCAGGGCUUCACACAUGCUACAAUGGCCAGUACAGAGGGCUGCGAGACCGUGAGGUGGAGCGAAUCCCUUAAAGCUGGUCUCAGUUCGGAUCGGGGUCUGCAACUCGACCCCGUGAAGUCGGAGUCGCUAGUAAUCGCAGAUCAGCAACGCUGCGGUGAAUACGUUCCCGGGCCUU